CUCACAGGCAGGGCUAGGGCGAAGACUGCUCCCCGACGGCCAAGACAUGGCCACGGUGGUGCAGCCUGUGGUCUACAUCGCAUGCAAGAAGCACCAACAAGAGUUCGGGUCACGGUGGUGCAGCCUUUGGUCUACAUCGCCUACCACUCCACCGUCUUUCGGAACCCCCACCACUUCCGCGGCAAGGGUGUGAGAGCUUAUAUCCCCAUAAAACAAUGCGUCGAUGAGCACAGUAGCUCGGAGGAGUCCACCAUGGAGCUGAUGCCACCUCGGCAAACAAAACUUGUGCAUAACGAGAACGACGAAGCGAGCCAAUACUACAGAGGAGCUGGACCAUAGUGAGGAAUCUGGCUAUCUGGCUAUUGUUUGGUGCUAACUGUUGUGGGAGCGCAUGUACGUGCAGCUGUGGAAUGAUAACCCAAACCACCUCAAUCAGAAAGGGGAGGCCAAACUAUGAUAUGGUUUAGUACCAGUUGAUGGAGAAACAGAAGGUCUGGCUGUUGUGAUGGCCGAAAGAAGAGCAAGGAGGGAUGGUAGAGGAUGUUCACAUAUAUAGG